AUACGGAGGGUGCAAGCGUUACUCGGAAUCACUGGGCGUAAAGCGCGCGCAGGCGGGCUGAUAAGUUGGAUGUGAAAGCCUACGGCUCAACCGUAGAACUGCAUCCAAAACUGUCAGUCUAGAGUGUGGGAGAGGAAGAUGGAAUUAGUUGUGUAGGGGUAAAAUCCGUAGAGAUAACUAGGAAUACCAAAAGCGAAGGCAAUCUUCUGGAACACUACUGACGCUGAGGCGCGAAAGCGUGGGGAGCAAACGGGAUUAGAAACCCUAGUAGUCC
rnacentral:rRNA from 1 species